GACGAACGCUGGCGGCGUGCUUAACACAUGCAAGUCGAACGGAAGGGCCUGCUUUCCCUUGUGGAUUGCGGGUACUCGAGUGGCGAACGGGUGAGUAACACGUGAGUGAUCUGCCCCCAACUUGGGUAUAAGCCUGGGAAACUGGGUCUAAUUCCCGAUAGGACUGCAGGGUGGUGCCUGUGGUGGAAAACGAUUUUCUAGUGGUGGGGGAUGAGCUCGCGGCCUAUCAGCUUGUUGGUGGGGUAAUGGCCUACCAAGGCGGCGACGGGUAGCCGGCCUGAGAGGGUGGACGGCCACAUUGGGACUGAGAUACGGCCCAGACUCCUACGGGAGGCAGCAGUGGGGAAUAUUGCACAAUGGGCGGAAGCCUGAUGCAGCGACGCCGCGUGGGGGAUGACGGCCUUCGGGUUGUAAACUCCUUUCGACCGCGAGGAAGCCACCUGGUUGGAAGGGUGGUGACGGUAGUGGUAGAAGAAGCACCGGCUAACUACGUG
rnacentral:rRNA from 1 species